rnacentral:rRNA from 1 species
AGAGUUUGAUCCUGGCUCAGGACGAACGCUGGCGGCGCGCUUAACACAUGCAAGUCGAGCGAGAACCAGGGCUUCGGCUCUGGGGACAGCGGCGAACGGGUGAGUAACACGUGGAUAACCUGCCCUCGGCACCGGGAUAGCCCGGGGAAACUCGGAUUAAUACCGGAUAGCCCUUUCGGCUUUCGAGCCGGUCGGAAAAGGUAGCUUCGGCCUCUGGCCGAGGAUGGGUCCGCGGCGGAUUAGCUUGUUGGUGGGGUAAUGGCCUACCAAGGCACCGAUCCGUAGCUGGUCUGAGAGGACGAUCAGCCACACUGGGACUGAGACACGGCCCAGACUCCUACGGGAGGCAGCAGUGGGGAAUCUUGCGCAAUGGGCGAAAGCCUGACGCAGCGACGCCGCGUGAGGGAGGAAGGCCUUCGGGUUGUAAACCUCUUUCAGGAGGGACGAAGCUACUCGGGUGAAUAGCCCAGAGGGUGACGGUACCUCCAGAAGAAGCCCCGGCUAACUACGUGCCAGCAGCCGCGGUA